AUUGAACGCUGGCGGCAGGCCUAACACAUGCAAGUCGAGCGGAUGAAGGGAGCUUGCUCCUGGAUUCAGCGGCGGACGGGUGAGUAAUGCCUAGGAAUCUGCCUGGUAGUGGGGGAUAACGUCCGGAAACGGGCGCUAAUACCGCAUACGUCCUGAGGGAGAAAGUGGGGGAUCUUCGGACAUCACGCUAUCAGAUGAGCCUAGGUCGGAUUAGCUAGUUGGUGGGGUAAAGGCCUACCAAGGCGACGAUCCGUAACUGGUCUGAGAGGAUGAUCAGUCACACUGGAACUGAGACACGGUCCAGACUCCUACGGGAGGCAGCAGUGGGGAAUAUUGGACAAUGGGCGAAAGCCUGAUCCAGCCAUGCCGCGUGUGUGAAGAAGGUCUUCGGAUUGUAAAGCACUUUAAGUUGGGAGGAAGGGCAGUAAGUUAAUACCUUGCUGUUUUGACGUUACCAACAGAAUAAGCACCGGCUAACUUCGU
rnacentral:rRNA from 1 species